GACAGAGGGUGCAAACGUUGUUCGGAAUUACUGGGCGUAAAGCGCACGUAGGCGGAUUUGUAAGUCAGGGGUGAAAUCCCGGGGCUCAACCUCGGAAUUGCCUUCAAUACUGGCUGUCUUGAGUGUGAGAGAGGUGUGUGGAACUCCGAGUGUAGAGGUGAAAUUCGUAGAUAUUCGGAAGAACACCAGUGGCGAAGGCGACACACUGGCUCACUACUGACGCUGAGGCGCGAAAGCGUGGGGAGCAAACAGG
rnacentral:rRNA from 1 species